AUUGAACGCUGGCGGGAUGCUUUACACAUGCAAGUCGAACGAGUGGCGGACGGGUGAGUAAUAUAUCGGAAGUGCCCAGUAGCGGGGGAUAACUACUGGAAACGGUAGCUAAUACCGCAUACUAUCGGAUAGCCCAUAUGGGAUUAGCUAGGAGGUGGGGUAAUGGCUCACCUAGGCGACGAUCCCUAGCUGGUCUGAGAGGAUGAUCAGCCACACUGGGACUGAGACACGGCCCAGACUCCUACGGAGGCAGCAGUGGGGAAUAUUGUACAAUGGGCGCAAGCCUGAUGCAGCCAUGCCGCGUGUCUGAAGAAGGCCUUCGGGUUGUAAAGUACUUUCAGUCGGGAGGCGUUACCCACAGAAGAAGCACCGGCUAACUCCGUGCCAGCCGCCGCGGUAAUUC
rnacentral:rRNA from 1 species